AGCAGUAGCCACGGUAAUACGGAGGGGGCUAGCGUUGUUCGGAAUUACUGGGCGUAAAGCGCGCGUAGGCGGCUUGGUAAGUUAGAGGUGAAAGCCUGGGGCUCAACCCCAGAAUUGCCUUUAAGACUGCCGAGCUAGUAGGUGAGAGAAGUAAGUGGAGUUCCGAGUGUAGAGGUGAAAUUCGUAGAUAUUCGGAAGAACACCAGUGGCGAAGGCGGCUUACUGGCUCAUUCUAGACGCUGAGGUGCGAAAGCGUGGGGAGCAAACAGGAUUAGAUACCCCCGUAGUCCCUGUCUCUUAUAC
rnacentral:rRNA from 1 species